GAUGAACGCUGGCGGCGUGCCUAAUACAUGCAAGUCGAGCGAACAGACGAGGCGCUUGCUCCUCUGACGUUAGCGGAAGACGGGUGAGAAACGCGUGGAUACUCUCCCUAUAAGACUGGGAACACUUCGGGAAACCGGCGCUAAUAGCGGAUAAUAUCUUGAACCGUGUGGUUCAAUAGUGAAAGACGGCUUUGCUGUCACUUCUCGCUGGAUCCCCGCUGCAUUAGCUGGUUGGUACGCUAAAGGCUUAUCAAGGCAAGUAUGCGUAGCCGACCUGAGAGGGUGGUAGGCCACAUGGGAACGGAGACACGGUCCAUACGCCUGCGGGAGGCAGCAGUAGGGAAUCGUCCGCAAAAGGCGAAAACCUGACGGAGCAGCGCCACGUGAGUGAUAGAAGUCUUCGGAUCGGAAAACUCUGUUAUUAGGGAAGAACAAAUGUGGAAGGAACUAUGCACGUCGUGACGGUACCUAAUCAGAAAGCCACGGCUAACUACGUG
rnacentral:rRNA from 1 species